UUCGUAUAGGUCUUCGUUUGUGUCUCACUGGUCCACGGUCUCUUCUAGACCCAGACGUCCUCCUUUCCCUGCACAAAGAGACAGGAAUCUACAGCACUGGAGGAGCGACUGGACCCUUUACCAUGCGCAUAGUCGACAUAAAGAAUGUGACGUCUGCACCGUGAGAUUUCAUCAUCCACGGUUUAGCCGGGAGCUGUUGGGAGAAAUGUUAAAUUAGUUAAUUAAACGUAUAGAUCAAAAGCUUAAAAUCAGUAUUUGGGUGUUUUGUGUUUAGUUAUCGAUUAAAGAUUAACUUUAAAAUUAAUUCCACCCACCGAUUGAUCCCGCCCAUUCAGUGGCUCAGCCAAUCGGAAUGGACGGGAGCCCUCAUUCCCACCCUUCCUAUUUGCUCCUGGCGGCCGUGAGGAAGUUUUGUGCGCGUCGCCGGUCAGUGGUGGUGAAUGGGCGGAUGGAUGGAUUCAUUGUAAAAUAAUGGGAUUCGCGCAGCCCUGAUUGCGCAACGAUGGCAGACUCGGCCUCCCUGGAGGUCCUGGCGGCCGAAGAGGAGAGGGAGUUUCAGAAUAUUUUAACUAUGAUCGGAGGCAAAGAGAGGAUUUAUUUGGUCGGCGACGCCAACGGAGGUAAGUGCGCGGAUGAGGAUGGAGCUGCGGCGCUGCAGGAGUUCCUACGUGACAUGUUUCACGGCGCGGAAAGCAACGGACAGCCCCGCUCCUCGCCCUCGGGCGGUCGCGGGGAUCACGCGAGCGCAGCCCACGCUCCUUCGAGUACCGAGCCGGUUAAAUGCGGCGACGUCUGCGUAAGAGUGAAGCCGGAGGACCGCGACGUGAGAUCCAGCCCGGCGGCACAGGACACGCAGAAUGACACGCGGCCGUCACGCAACGGAAGCGCGCGGCGAGUAGCGACGCGGAGGACGGACGUUUACAGCCAGAAGCGGGCGAUAGAGUCCCGUGUUAUCAUGUUCAUAUUCAGAGAGACGUUUCUCUCCAACAGACUGUGUUUGAAGGAGAUCCUGAAGGACGUGAAGGCGCGCACGAAAGUUGCCACGGGUCCCCGACCGGCUUUGAUCGGAUUAAUACGCACCAGACAGGAAAACGCCGAGUCGCGUCGCAGCGCGCAGAUCCUGGAGCGUCUGAUCCGCUCUGUGUUCCACAAACAUCCUCCAGAGACAAUAUGGGUCGACUGUUUCAUCCCGAAGAACGAGGCCAACAUGCUCAGCAUCAAGAAGAACACCUGCCAAGUCAUAUCGUCGUCACAAACCGCAGAUAAUACCAGGGAUGAUGGGAGUCUGCUGUUUUGGCCAAUCCAAUGUUUGCCCUGGCCCCAGAGAAGAGGAGCCGGAGACCAGGGCAAUGACACUUCAGCCAGCAGUCAGAGAGGUUGCACUGGAACUGCAGAAGAAAACAUUCCGCUGAAAGCCAGUUCUUCUUCUGCUGUUCGUCAUGUGGAUGGGGGACCAGCUAGAGAGGACAGCUGAAGUCCUCACACAUGACCAGUGGCUGCAGGCCUAACACUGUGGACAAUCUUUUUUCCUUUUUAACCAUAAAAACAAUGGUUAGCAUUAUGGUGCCAGAGAACCUACAGGUUACGGUGUUAAUUCACGGUGCUCAAUAUUCUCACGGUGGAGCCAGCAUAACUCUUACCUUAUGCAGUAUGUUGUGAAUGUGGUCAUCAUCUCACCUAUGAGUUCUCUCGGUUGUACUAUGGCAGUCAUAAUAGGUUUUACGUAUUGUAGAAUUGUCCUGUUAAUUAUGCCACUGUUUUUGCUCCAUUUAUUGGACAUGUUUGUGCCAUGAAAGUACAGUAUCAACCUAUGAAGUGGGUCCUACACUGAGGCCAAAGUCUGGCUGUAUCUACUGACAGAAAACACCCAUCCAAAUGUUUUCAGGUUCAUGGUGAAGCUGUGUGAUGUUUGACCUUUUUUUCUUUUGCUUUAGCGGAUUUUAGUGCCUUAGAUGAAUGAUUUUGACAACUGCACUAUCUGUAGCUAAAGAAAACGGCGCAGACCGGUUUCUACUCUCUUGUACUGUAGGCUAUGAAGUUUGUAAUAAAACUGAAGGAAUUACAACA
rnacentral:lncRNA from 1 species